AGCAUAUCAAUAAGCGGAGGAAAAGAAACUAACCAGGAUUCCCCUAGUAACGGCGAGUGAAGCGGGAACAGCUCAACUUUUAAAUCUCGGGGGUUCCCCCCGCGAGUUGUAGUUUGAAGAGGCGUUUUCGGCGACGGGUCCGGCCCAAGUUCCCUGGAACAGGACGCCGGAGAGGGUGAGAGCCCCGUAGGGCCGCGGCCCGUCUACUGUGAUACGCACUCGAAGAGUCGGGUUGUUUGGGAAUGCAGCCCUAAAUGGGAGGUAAAUUUCUUCCAAGGCUAAAUACCGGCGAGAGACCGAUAGCGAACAAGUACCGUGAGGGAAAGAUGAAAAGCACUUUGAAAAGAGAGUUAAACAGCACGUGAAAUUGUCAAAAGGGAACCGCUUGAAACCAGUGUUGUCAGCUGCCUUCAGCCGGCCCCGGCCGGUGCACUUGGCGGCGACAGGCCAACGUCGGUUCGGGCUGCCGCAGAUGAGCUUAGGCAAGGUAGCUCCCUUCGGGGAGUGUUAUAGGCCUUUGUUAGCGCGGUGGCCUGGUCCGAGGACUGCAGGACAGUGCCAGGGCUCUCUAGGGAGUCUGGCUUCUGGCCGGCCCGACUGCAUGCAGACGUGCCGGACCCGAGGCCUCCCUCCCUAGUCUGCCUCUUCUGCCCUUAGGAUGUUGGCGAAAUGGUUUUAAACGACCCGUCU
rnacentral:rRNA from 1 species